rnacentral:rRNA from 1 species
GAUGAACGCUGGUGGCGUGCUUAACACAUGCAAGUCGAACGGAAAGGCCCAAGCUUGCUUGGGUACUCGAGUGGCGAACGGGUGAGUAACACGUGGGUGAUCUGCCCUGCACUUCGGGAUAAGCCUGGGAAACUGGGUCUAAUACCGGAUAGGACGAUGGUUUGGAUGCCAUUGUGGAAAGUUUUUUCGGUGUGGGAUGAGCUCGCGGCCUAUCAGCUUGUUGGUGGGGUAAUGGCCUACCAAGGCGUCGACGGGUAGCCGGCCUGAGAGGGUGUACGGCCACAUUGGGACUGAGAUACGGCCCAGACUCCUACGGGAGGCAGCAGUGGGGAAUAUUGCACAAUGGGCGCAAGCCUGAUGCAGCGACGCCGCGUGGGGGAUGACGGCCUUCGGGUUGUAAACUCCUUUCGCUAGGGACGAAGCGUUUUGUGACGGUACCUGGAGAAGAAGCACCGGCUAACUACGUG